GCAGUCGAGGGGUAACAGGGUAGCAAUACCGCUGACGACCGGCGCACGGGUGCGUAACACGUAUGCAACCUACCUAUAACUGGGGAAUAGCCUUCCGAAAGGAAGAUUAACACCGCAUAACAUCACGAGAUGGCAUCAUUUUGUGAUCAAACCUCCGGGGGUUAUAGAUGGGCAUGCGUAACAUUAGCUAGUUGGUGAGGUAACGGCUCACCAAGGCAACGAUGUUUAGGGGGUCUGAGAGGAUGAUCCCCCACACUGGUACUGAGACACGGACCAGACUCCUACGGGAGGCAGCAGUAAGGGAUAUUGGACAAUGGGGGCAACCCUGAUCCAGCCAUGCCGCGUGAAGGAUGAAGGCGCUCUGCGUCGUAAACUUCUUUUACUCGGGAAAAAUUGUUGGGUUUCUACCUGACUUGAUUGUACCGAGAGAAUAAGGACCGGCUAACUUCGUGCCAGCAGCCGCGGUAAUACGAAGGGUCCAAGCGUUAUCCGGAUUUAUUGGGUUUAAAGGGUGCGUAGGCGGGUUGUUAAGUCAGUGGUGAAAUCUUGCAGCUUAACUGUAAAAUUGCCAUUGAUACUGACGAUCUUGAGUACACUUGAAGUGNGCGGAAUAUGUCAUGUAGAGGUGAAAUUCUUAGAGAUGACAUAGAACACCGAUUGCGAAGGCAGCUCACUAAAUUGUAACUGACGCUGAGGCACGAAAGCGUGGGGAUCAAACAGGAUUAGAUACCCUGGUAGUCCACGCCCUAAACGAUGAUUACUAGAUGUGUGCAAUAUACCGUACGCGUCACAGCUAAAGCGUUAAGUAAUCCACCUGGGGAGUACGGUCGCAAGACUGAAACUCAAAGGAAUUGACGGGGGCCCGCACAAGCGGAGGAGCAUGUGGUUUAAUUCGAUGAUACGCGAGAACCUUACCCAGGGCUGAAGUUAGUGAAUGAUUUAGAAUAGGUCAGCAAGCAUUGCACGAACUAGUGCUGCA
rnacentral:rRNA from 1 species